UACGGAGGGUGCAAGCGUUAUCCGGAUUUACUGGGCUUAAAGGGUGCGUAGGUGGACAGGAAAGUCAGGGGUGAAAUCUUCGAGCUUAACUCGGAAACUGCCAUUGAUACUAUUUGUCUUGAAUACUUUGGAGGUAAGCGGAAUAUGUCAUGUAGCGGUGAAAUGCCUAGAUAUGACAUAGAACACCAGUUGCGAAGGCAGCUUCCUGCACAGUUAUUGACACUGAGGCGCGAAAGCGUGGGGAUCAAACAGG
rnacentral:rRNA from 1 species